rnacentral:lncRNA from 1 species
GUAAAAGAACUUAUGAGUGAAAUACAAUUCAAUCCUUGAAAAUCAAUAUGGUAUCAGAGCAGGAAAAUUAACCUGCGUCUGCUAUACUGCUAUUCGAGCGUGUUCAACCCUCAAAAUGUCUGAAGAUAAUCUGCUGAUAUCCGAAGCUGAAAGCUCACAGGUGCCUUCCUCCAUGAACGUGCAUGAGGUGGACGUCAACCCAAAUCAAAGAUUAAGCUCAGUCGUGUUGAAUGAGUUUAAUUACUUGCCUUGGUCGAGAGCUGUGUCUUUGGUGCUAGGUGGAAGGUCCAAGUUGGGGUUCAUAAAUGGAAGCAUCAAAGUACCUGAUGUUGGAAGUUUUGAGACUCUUGUCCCACAUUGGUGAAAACAAGAUUCCAAAGUACCUUUAUAUACUUUUUGUCUUCUACAAUAUUGGUUAUGUGUUGGACUACUUGGAAUGGGAAUUGAGGCUUGGGCCACCAUUUCUGUGGAUUGGGCUUGAUGAUUAUACCAUAAUAUUAAUAUUAAUUAAUCAAGACAAGGGCCUUGGGGCACUUGGGGCCUAAGAAUUAAAAUUAAUCUGAUCAAUUAGUUUUAAUUUCGAAUUAAGUUUUUAAUUAAAUUAAUUAAAAACGUUUUGAUUAAAGAUACAACCUUUUGUAAAGAGUUGUAAAGUUUCAGAUACAUCCAAAAGGUAUUUGAAGAGGUAUGAAAGAGCCUAUAUAACUGGAGUCCUCAGUUCAUCAUCGAUCAUCCUUUCUUCUUCCUUUUCUUCCGUACAAACUUUCCAGAGAGAGUAAACACACAAAGCAAUUCGCUAGAAUUCUAUAAUCCAGUGCGGGUUGUAGGAUUAGGUAGUUGUAUCCUGGUCGAGCAGACGUUGUAGAACCACAAGCACAAGAGUGGGACGAAAUUACUGUUCGAAGGACAUAGCUUUUACGCUAGCCUCUACCUUCUGUAAUCAAGUUAGUACUUUUGAUAUUCUCAUAUUUAAUUUUCUGUAGUCGUUGUGUAUCAUUCUGUAUUGCAAGUAUUUUUGAGUAAUAAAGUAUAAAUAUUUCAAGUUCUGUAUUUCUGUUAUUUCUGUUUCUAAAUUGUUCUCCAACAAUCUUCGAACAGUAUGGAACAAUCUGGAACUAAACCUCUUUCUGAGAAGCCUGAGAAAUUUAAGGGCGGAGACUUCAAACGAUGGCAGCAGAAAAUGCUGUUUUAUCUGACAACCUUGAAUUUGGCUAAUGUUGUGCACCAGACUGAACCUACUGCAGAUGGAGAAAAUAUUUUUUCUGCAGAAACUUUGACGACUAUAGAUGCCUGGAAACAUAAUGAUUUCCUCUGCAGAAACUAUAUUCUUAAUGCAUUAGAUGAUUCAUUGUAUGAUGUCUACGUGGUGUGCAAAACAGCCAAGGAACUGUGGGAAUCAUUUGAGAAAAAAUAUAAAACCGAGGAUGCUGGUUCAAAGAAAUUUGUCGUGGGCAAAUUUUUGGACUACAAAAUGGUGGAUUCCAAGUCUGUUGUCUCUCAAACUGAAGAUCUCCAGAAAAUCAUCCAUGACAUUCAUGUUGAAGGGAUGGUAAUCAAUGAGUCUUUCCAAGUGGCGUCCAUUAUCGAAAAACUGCCACCUUCUUGGAAAGAGUUCAAGAGUUAUCUCAAGCACAAACGAAAGGAGAUGACCCUUGAGGAUCUCAUUGUAAGGCUGGGAAUUGAGGAAGAUAACAGAAAGAAUGAGAAGGGCCUGGUUUCGAGUAUGGAAGCCAAGGCGAAUGUUGUUGAAGGAAGUUCAUCAAAGCAAAGGCCAAAAUUCCAGAAAACUAAGAAGAAGGAAAACCACUUUAUCCCUGGUGCGAAAGGCAAAGACUUCAAGAAAAUCAAGGGAAGUUGCUGGGUUUGUGGAAAGCAAGGCCAUAGGGCUCAAGAAUGUCGCCAUCGAAGGGAUCAAGGUCCUGGAAAUCAAGGCAACAACAACCGCGCAAACCUGAUUCAAAACAAUGUGGAUGCCCUGGCUGCAAUGAUUUCUGAAAUCAACCUUGUAUCUGACCAUGCUGAUUGGUGGAUAGAUACCGGUGCAACUCGCCAUGUUUGUGGUGACAGAAAUAUGUUCUCUUCGUACCAGAAAAUAGAGGGAAACGAGCAGCUGUUUAUGGGAAAUGCAUCCUCAUCUGUUGUGGCUGGAAUAGGGAAGUGUGUUCUGAAAUUCACUUCUGGAAAGGAAUUGACCCUUCUUGACGUACUGCAUGUCCCCGAUAUAAGGAAGAAUCUUGUUUCUGGUCCUAUCCUUAGUAAUAAAGGAUUCAAACUAGUUUUUGAGUCCAAUAAGUUUGUAUUAACGAAAGGGGGAAUGUUUGUGGGAAAAUGGUUACCUUGCUGAUGGAUUAUUCAAACUCAAUGUACUUGCUAAUGCUAUGAAUGAAAUAAAUAAUGCUUCUGCUUAUAUUGUUGAUUCGUCUAAUUUAUGGCACUCUAGGUUAGGACAUGUAAAUUUUCGUUCUCUUUUUAGAAUGCAUAAUUUAGGUUUGCUGCCCAAAAUUGAUUAUCUAGAUAAUGUUAAAUGUGAAACUUGUACAGAAUCGAAAUUUGCAAGUCAAAGCUUUAAAUCAGUGCAUGAAAAAUCCAAUGAUUUGUUAGAUUUAAUUCAUAGUGACUUGUGUGAUUUUAGAUCAUAUCCAACUUGUGGUGGAAAGAAUUAUUAUGUAACAUUUAUAGAUGAUUUCAGUAAGUAUUGUUAUGUUUAUUUACUUCAUAGCAAAGACGAGACCUUGGAUAUGUUUAAGACAUAUAAGGCAGAAGUUGAAAAUCAACUUAACAAGAAGAUUAAAGUCUUAAGGUCCGAUAGGGGAGGAGAAUAUGAGUCUCAUGCUUUUGCUGAAUUUUGUGCCACACAUGGCAUAAUUCAUCAAACAACAGCCCCCUAUACACCACAACAAAACGGUGUUGCCGAAAGGAAAAAUAGGACUUUUAAAGACAUGAUCAAUUUUAUGUUGAAUAGUUCUGGACUUCCACACAAUUUGUGUGGUGAAGCUUUACUUACUGCAAAUAAAAUUUUGAAUCGAAUUCCACCUAAAACGAGAAAGGAGUCACCAUAUGAAUUAUGGAAAGGAAGAACCCCUACGUUUAAAUUGCUUAAAGUGUGGGGUUGUCUGGCAAAAGUACAAGUUCCAUUGCCAAAAAGAACAAAAUUAGGACCUAAAACUAUUGAUUGUGUUUUUAUUGGUUUUGCAUCUAAUAGUUCGGCUUAUAGAUUCUUAAUUUUUCAUUCCGAAAUAAGUGAUAUACAUGUCAAUACUAUUAUAGAAUCUAUAAAUGCAAUAUUUUUUGAGGAUAUUUUUCCAUACAAAAUAGGCAAGUCUAAUUUAUUGAAAAAGAGAAUACAUGAUGAUGUAUCUGAGGUUACUGAUGAACCUAGAGAACAUGAUGAUGGUUCAACCUCGUCUAGAGUUCAAGAAGAAGAACUUGAACCUAGAAGAAGUAAAAGGACAAAAAUCCGAAAGGACUUUGGGCCUGAUUUUGUUACUUUAUUAACCGAGACAGAACCUCAAUCAUUCAAGGAGGCCAUGUCCACUCCUGAAGCUCCAUUUUGGAAGGAUGCAGUUAACAGUGAGAUAGAUUCCAUUAUGCAAAAUCAUACAUGGGAAUUAGUCGAUUUGCCCCCUGGCAAUAAGCCAAUUGGGUACAAAUGGAUCUUUAAGAAAAAAUUAAAACCAGAUGGUACAAUUGACAAAUAUAAGGCUCGUUUGGUAGCUAAAGGAUACCGUCAAAAACAUGGUUUGGAUUUCUUUGAUACAUAGUCACCUGUAACGAGAAUUACUUCAAUAAGAUUAUUGAUUGCUAUAGCUGCACUCCAUAACAUGGAAAUACAUCAAAUGGAUGUAAAAACUGCAUUCUUAAAUGGAAACUUAGAUGAGGAAAUAUAUAUGGAACAACCCGAGGGGUUUGUAGUUAAAGGUAAAGAACACAAAGUGUGUAAACUUGUGAAAUCGCUAUAUGGGCUUAAACAAGCUCCAAAGCAAUGGCAUGAAAAAUUUGACCAUGUUCUGAUCACACACGGUUUUAAGAUAAAUGAGUGUGAUAAGUGUGUCUACACAAAAACUCAAAAUAAUGCUUGCGUUAUGUUGUGUUUAUAUGUAGAUGAUAUGCUUAUAAUGGGAACUAACAAAGAGAUAAUACAUUGGACCAAGAAGAUAUUGAAAUCAAGUUUCGAUAUGAAAGAUCUUGGUCUAGCUGAUGUGAUUCUUGGUAUAAAAAUCAAAAGAAACCAAGAAGGUUAUAUUCUUACGCAAUCCCAUUAUAUAGAAGCAACACUUAGAAAGUAUGGUCAUUUGGAAAGUAAAGAUGCAAUUACUCCUUAUGAUGCCGAUAGCAAACUAAAGAAAAAUAGUGGUGAUGCUAUAUCUCAACGUGAAUAUUCACAAGUCAUUGGAAGCCUUAUGUACAUUAUGAAUUGUACAAGGCCUGAUAUAGCUUACUCAGUAAGUAGACUGAGUAGAUAUACAUGCAAUCCUGGGCAUGAUCAUUGGGAAGCUUUAAUUCGAGUAUUGAGAUACUUAAAGCAUACAAUAAAUUAUGGAUUGCAUUAUACAAGGUAUCCUCCUGUGCUUGAAGGAUUUACUGAUGCGAAUUGGAUAUCGGAUAGCAGUGAUACGAAAUCCACAAGUGGAUAUGUAUUUACUUUAGGAGGAGCAGCAAUAUCUUGGAAAUCCUCCAAACAAACGUGCAUAGCCUGAUCAACAAUGGAAUCGGAAUUUAUAGCCCUCGAUAUGGCUGGAGGAGAAGCUGAGUGGCUAAGAGAUUUUUUGGAAGAUGUUCCCAUAUGGCCUAAACCUGUAACGGCAAUAUGUAUACACUGUGAUAGUUUAGCUGCACAAUAUCGAGCUAAAAAUAGUGUAUACAAUGGGAAGUCUAGACAAAUUAGACGAAGACAUAAUACAAUAAAGCAAUGGCUCUCUAGUGGUGUAAUUUUUAUUGACUAUGUCAAGUCAAAAGAUAAUAUUGCGGAUCCGCUUACUAAAGGCUUAUCUAGAGAGCAAGUUAAGCAUACAUUGAGGGGAAUGGGUUUAAAGCCAAUAGAGUAAAAUGAAACUGCUAAAUGGAAACCUAACCUAGUUGAUUGGAGAUCCCAUGGUCUAGGUUCAAUAGGCCAACUGGUUUGGCUAGAUUCAAGAAGAAACACACUUACAUACCCAUUCCUAUGAUGGAAGAAGUGUGGUGACUGCUGAUGAGUAUAGGAUACAUUAGUUUAAUGAUAUUGAUACUUGUAAGUCAAGUGGAAUAGUAGCAGCUUAUUCUUAAUCAAUAUCACCUAUAUGAGAAAAAAUGUGGGGUCGCAUUUAUGAGAUUUAUAUGGCUACAUUCUCUAAAGCUCUCAUGAAUCCAGGAUUUGUUCAGGACCAAAAUGAACACAAACGUAUGAAUUUGCGAUGUGUUGGUGUGGCAUAUGUUUUGCUUAUUGUCUAGGUUUACUGCGGAGAUGAACAAUUCAAGAUUUUAUAUUCACUGCGUCAUCUAGUAAAUCCGAUAAGUAUAUACUAAGGUAGGUUCAAGUCCAAAAGACACCUUUCCUGAUGUAUGUCACAUCUAUUGUUUACUCUCGUAUCUUAGUUUCUCUAAGACUAAAUAGUCGUCUCAAAAUGUGGGGUAUUGUUGGAAGUUUUGAGACUCUUGUCCCACAUUGGUGAAAACAAGAUUCCAAAGUACCUUUAUAUACUUUUUGUCUUCUACAAUAUUAGUUAUGUGUUGGACCACUUGGAAUGGGAAUUGAGGCUUGGGCCACCAUUUCUGUGGAUUGGGCUUGAUGAUUAUACCAUAAUAUUAAUAUUAAUUAAUCAAGACAAGGGCCUUGGGGCACUUGGGGCCUAAGAAUUAAAAUUAAUCUGAUCAAUUAGUUUUAAUUUCGAAUUAAGUUUUUAAUUAAAUUAAUUAAAAACGUUUUGAUUAAAGAUACAACCUUUUGUAAAGAGUUGUAAAGCUUCAGAUACAUCCAAAAGGUAUUUGAAGAGGUAUGAAAGAGCCUAUAUAACUGGAGUCUUCAGUUCAUCAUCGAUCAUCCUUUCUUCUUCCUUUUCUUCCGUACAAACUUUCCAGAGAGAGUAAACACACAAAGCAAUUCGCUAGAAUUCUAUAAUCCAGUGCGGGUUGUAGGAUUAGGUAGUUGUAUCCUGGUCGAGCAGACGUUGUAGAACCACAAGCACAAGAGUGGGACGGAAUUACUGUUCGAAGGACAUAGCUUUUAUGCUAGCCUCUACCUUCUGUAAUCAAGUUAGUACUUUUGAUAUUCUCAUAUUUAAUUUUCUAUAGUCGUUGUGUAUCAUUCUGUAUUGCAAGUAUUUUUGAGUAAUAAAGUAUAAAUAUUUCAAGUUCUGUAUUUCUGUUAUUUCUGUUUCUAAAUUGUUCUCCAACACCUGAUGCUUCGUCACCAAACUAUGAAUCCUGGCUUAGCAAGGAUCAGCUGGUUAUGUCAUGGCUCUUGAAUUCCAUGGAACGUAAAUUAGCUGAAAUAUUCAGCUACUCAGAAUCCUCGUACCAGCUAUGGGAAGCGGUCAAGGAAAU